rnacentral:tRNA from 1 species
UGACUCAGUUGGGUGAGUUUGGAACUUGCAAUGCCAGGGUUGUGGGUUCGAUUCCCAC